rnacentral:rRNA from 1 species
GUGCCAGCCGCCGCGGUAAUACGGAGGGCGCGAGCGUUAAUCGGAAUGACUGGGCGUAAAGCGUGCGCAGGCGGCCGCGCAAGUCGGAUGUGAAAGCCCCGGGCUUAACCCGGGAACUGCGUUCAAAACUGCGCGGCUGGAGUCCGGCAGAGGAAGGUGGAAUUCCGCGUGUAGCGGUGAAAUGCGUAGAGAUGCGGAAGAACACUAAUGGCGAAGGCAUCCUUCUGGGCCGGCACUGACGCUGAGGCACGAAAGCGUGGGUAGCAAACAGGAUUAGAUACCCUGGUAGUCCACGCCCUAAGCGAUGUCCGCUGGCUGUCGGGGGCGACCUCGGUGGCGGAGCUAACGCGUUAAGCGGACCGCCUGGGGAGUACGGCCGCAAGGUUAAAACUUAAAGAAAUUGACGG